rnacentral:rRNA from 1 species
UACAGAGGGGGCAAGCGUUGUUCGGAAUUACUGGGCGUAAAGGGCGCGUAGGCGGCCUUCUAAGUCAGACGUGAAAUCCCCGGGCUCAACCCGGGAACUGCAUCUGAUACUGGAGGGCUUGAAUCCGGGAGAGGGAUGUGGAAUUCCAGGUGUAGCGGUGAAAUGCGUAGAUAUCUGGAGGAACACCGGUGGCGAAGGCGGCUCUCUGGACGGAUACUGACGCUGAGGCGCGAAAGCGUGGGGAUCAAACAGG